rnacentral:rRNA from 1 species
AGAGUUUGAUCCUGGCUCAGGACGAACGCUGGCGGCGCGCCUAACACAUGCAAGUCGAACGGGGUAUAUUGGAUUGAUCCUUCGGGAGAUUGAUAAUAGACCUAGUGGCGGACGGGUGAGUAACACGUGAGCAACCUGAACCUUACAGAGGGGGAUAACGUUCUGAAAAGAACGCUAAUACCGCAUAACAUAUUGAGUGGGCAUCCACUUGAUAUCAAAGGAGCAAUCCGCUGUAAGAUGGGCUCGCGUCCGAUUAGCCAGUUGGCGGGGUAACGGCCCACCAAAGCGACGAUCGGUAGCCGGACUGAGAGGUUGAACGGCCACAUUGGGACUGAGACACGGCCCAGACUCCUACGGGAGGCAGCA